rnacentral:rRNA from 1 species
AAACCAACAGGGAUUGCCUUAGUAGCGGCGAGUGAAGCGGCAAGAGCUCAAAUUUGAAAUCUGGUAUCUUCGAUGCCUGAGUUGUAAUUUGAAGAAAGCUAUCUUGGAUUUGGCCUUUGUCUAUGUUCCUUGGAACAGGACGUCAUAGAGGGUGAGAAUCCCGUCUGAUGAGGUGUCCAUUUCUAUGUAAGAUGCUUUCGAAGAGUCGAGUUGUUUGGGAAUGCAGCUCAAAGUGGGUGGUAAAUUCCAUCUAAAGCUAAAUAUUGGCGAGAGACCGAUAGCGAACAAGUACUGUGAAGGAAAGAUGAAAAGAACUUUGAAAAGAGAGUGAAAAAGUACGUGAAAUUGUUGAAAGGGAAGGGUAUUUGAUCAGACUUGGUAUUUAGUUAUCAUUGCUCCUUGUGGGUGGUGCUCUAGCUUUUUACUGGGCCAGCAUCAGUUUUGGUGGCAAGAUAAUGACAGUUGAAUGUGGCUCCUUCUGGAGUGUUAUAGCUUCUGUUGAUAUUGCCUACCGGGACUGAGGUCUGCGGCUUUUGCCUAGGAUGCUGGCGUAAUGAUCCAAUACCGCC